AACGCGAAGAACCUUACCUGGGCUUGGCAUGUUAGUCGUAGACUUGUGAAAGCUUGUCGUCACUUCGGGUGGACUAUCACAGGUGCUGCAUGGCUGUCUUCAGCUCGUGUCGUGAGAUGUUGGGUUAAGUCCCGUAACGAGCGCAACCCCUAUGAACUGUUGCCAGCGGGUAAUGCCGGGGACUCUGUUCAGACUGCCCAGAUUAACUGGGAGGAAGGAGGGGAUGACGUCAAGUCAGUAUGGCCCUUACGCCCAGGGCUGCACACGUGCUACAAUGUCCAGUACAAUGUGAACCGAGACCGCGAGGUGGAGGAAAUCAAUAAAACUGGGCUCAGUUCGGAUUGUAGGCUGCAACUCGCCUACAUGAAGUUGGAAUCGCUAGUAAUGGUACAUCAGCUACGGUACCGUGAAUACGUUCCCGGGUCUUGUACACACCG
rnacentral:rRNA from 1 species